GCGCCUGCGCGCCAGCCGGCCGGGAAGCGGUUGCCUAGCAACGGGAGCUGUGCGGGCCUAGUUGGAAUUGGGAAGCCUUUUCAUUCCUGUCAGAGAAGAACGAAGAAAAAUAACAUCACCAGCUUCAUAAGAAAUCUGCUACUAGGCCAGGAUAGAUUAGCACUAUGAAGCCAUGAAGUAAUAAUAAUAAUAAUAAUAAUAAUAAUAAAGACUACAAACAGAGGCACAACUUUGUGGCCCAAAGGACUUAUGCCUCAAGUACCACCUGCCAGCAGCAAAGAACUGGUGGGAUCACAAACCUGCAAACGUAUUGGGAAAUGAGCACGCAAAGAUACUGUGGGACUUCCGAAUCCAGACUGACAAAGUUCUGGAACACAACACACCAGACAUCACAGUUGUGGAAAAGAAAAAAGUUGGGAUCCUUGAUGUCGCCAUCCCAGGUGAAAAACAACAGGAAAAACUCAGCCGCUCUCAGAACCUCAAGAUUGAACUUCAAAGACUCUGGCAGAAACCAGUGCAGGUGGUCCCGGUGGUGAUGGGCACACUGGGUACCGUGCCAAAAGAUCUCAGCUGUCAUUUGGAAACAAUAGACAUUGACAAAAUUACGAUCUGCCAACUGCAAAAGGCCACCCGACUGGGAUCUGCACGCAUCAUCCGAAAAUACAUCACACAGUCCUAAACGCUUGGGAAGUGUUCGACUUGUGGUUUUGUGAUAUGAAAUCCAGCAUGUCUAUCUUGUUUGCUGUGUCAUAAUAAUAAUAAUAAUAAUAAUAAUAAUAAUAAUAAUAAUAAUAAUAAUAAUGAAGUUUGCAAAGUCAGUCAGGGAGCGUCUCUGCAUAGAGGUGGCCUGGCCUCUGUUGCCUGGAGGCACCCUCUCCUUGGGAGGAGUUGUUCACUGGCCCUUGAUUGAUUGCUGUCAAACAGAGUGGGUCUGUUGAUACUAAAAGACAGAGGAAGGGGAGACCAAACUGCCAAUAUCUGCUCGAUAAUGGAGGAAGGCAAUAGGAUAAAAAGAACGAGAGAUCUCUAACUGAAAAUUAGAAGCAUCGGAGGCAAAAAUGGGCAAGAUCAAAAACAAACCUAACAGAAGCUGAAGAGAUCGAGAGAAAGCGGCGAGAAUAUAAAGAAGAGGUCUAUACAAGACUUUCUCAGCCUUCAGAAAGGAAUGAGGAAGUACUCCGUGAAGGACUCGGUGUCACAAGUGGACGGUGAAGCAGCAGCUCCUCCUGUGGCCGGAAGCGAACAUACCCUCAUGAAGCCGCUAAACAUGCACAGAUCUUUAAGCCACUCCUCGUGGGGAUUGUUCUCCAGACGCUCGAUCCUUUGAGUCUCCGUCCUCUGGACACAUUUCAGCUUAGUCAACAUCUCCCUUCAAUGGCGGUGCCCAGAUGACUUCUACUCCAGCUGCUUUUUAAGCAUCGCCUCACGUCGGAGUGAAAAAGAUGGAUGGCGGCGAAAUUAAAUGCAGAGUUUAACUGAGAAAUAAUCAUUUCCGAUGAAAGCUAAUGACUUCUCUGGAGGCCGCCGACCGAGAUUUAUUGACCCAAGAGGUUAAUAUCGAUCAAAGCCGCAGCAAAAGAAAAUAUGAGGCCUUGGAAGGGAGGAUCAUUUCGAUAUUGAGGCCUUGCCACUGACAGAGCAGAGCCGUAUAUCUGGACAUUAAACGCAGAAGGUAUUGAAUAAUGUGUCGACUGUCUUCCAUUCCCACAGGUUUUAUGUCUCUCUUUCAUUUUAUUAUAGCAAUGUCCUUGUUUUGGGUGCGUCCACACUUGGAAUUAAUGCAGUUUGACGUCACUUUAACUGCCCUGGGUCGAUGCCAUGGAACCCUGGGAGUUGUAGAUGCGUAAGGUUUUGAGGCAACCAAAUGUGGUGCGAAACUGCAUUACUUUUACAGUGUAGACGUACCUUUAAUGGCAGCUUUGGGCUUCUAUUCUGAAAAAAUGUGGGGUAUAAAUUAAUAAUAAAAAUGUUAAAUAAUAAUAAUAAUAAUAAUAAUAAUAAUAAUAAUAAUAAUAAUUGGGUGUGUUUCCAAUGGCCACUCUGGGUGUCUGUCCUGAGAAAAGUUGGGGUAAUAAUAAUAAUAAUAAUAAUGUUACAUAACAACAAUAACAACUCAAAUGGGUGUUUUUCCAAUGGCUGCUUUGGGUCUCUGUCCUGAGAAAAGUUGGGGUAAUAAUAAUAAUAUUAUAUAAUAAUAAUAAUAGUAACAACAAUAGUAACAACAACAACUCAAAUGGGUGUUUUUCCAAUGGCUGCUUUGGGCCUCUGUCCUGAGAAAAGUUGGGGUACUAAUAAUAAUAUUAUAUAAUAAUAAUAAUAAUAAUAAUAAUAAUAAUAAUAACAACAACAACAACAGCUCAAAUGGGUGUUUUUCUAAUGGCUGCUUUGGGUCUCUGUCCUGAGGAAAAUUGGGGUAAUAAUAAUAAUUAUAAUAAUAAUAAUAACAGCAACAACUCAAAUGGGUGUGUUUCCAAUGGUUGCUUUGGGCCUCUGUCCUGAGAAAUGUUGGGGUAAUAAUAAUAAUAUUAUAUAAUAAUAAUAAUAAUAAUAAUAAUAAUAAUAACAGCAACAACUCAAAUUGGUGUUUUUCCAGUGGCUGCUUUGGGUCUCUGUCCUGAGAAAAGUUGGGGUACUAAUAAUAAUAUUAAUAGUUACAUGGUGAUGAUGAUGAUGAUGUCACAUAAGAAGAAGAAGAACAACAACAACAACAACAAUGUUACUUGAUGAUGAUGA